CUAGGUGGCUGGGAACGCAGAAGACACAUUGAGGAGGAGGACGACGAUGACUAAGUUUCGAUCUAUUAUUUACUUGGCACGAUUGAUUCAAACCAGUUCUCCUCCGACGGGUUAGAAACAAAGCGAAAGAACCAACGGCGGCCUAGUAGCCUGGGUGAUCUUCAGGGUCAGACUUUAAGACGGCGUCCCGGGAUCGAAUGCCACACCGGAGGCGAUGUCUCCGGUAGGUGUCCUGCUGUCGCCACUCUUCCUUCUGAAUUCGGCCAGGGUUGCCAAGCAGGCUUCUCUGUUCUUCACUGCUUCUCCAGCUGUUCUCGCUUCAUCUAUCAAUGUCUGCACCUCACCGCAUAUGGUCUUAGCCGCUUUUAGUGGUGCUUACGCACAAUAAAGGCAAAUACAGUACUUUAUAAGAC